GACGAACCGUGCGAACGUUGUUCGGAAUCACUGGGCUUAAAGGGCGCGUAGGCGGACUGCCAAGUCCGGGGUGAAAUCCUCCGGCUUAACCGGAGAAUUGCCUGGGAUACUGGCGGUCUUGAGGGAGGUAGGGGCACGCGGAACUUCCGGUGGAGCGGUGAAAUGCGUUGAUAUCGGAAGGAACGCCGGUGGCGAAAGCGGCGUGCUGGCCCUCUUCCUGACGCUGAGGCGCGAAAGCCAGGGGAGCGAACGGG
rnacentral:rRNA from 1 species